GGGGGUAGCAGGGACGCGGGGCGUGAGGUGACGUGGGGCGCGAGGCGGGGGCGUGAGGUGGCGGUGGGGGCGGCAGUGACGCAGGCGUGGGUGGCAGGGCGAGCGGCCCGGUGGCCCGUGUCGCGAGGCAGGGGCAGGCUGGCGGCCGGGCGGGCGCGCGUCUUCCGUGUGCCUGGGUCCCGGCUCUGCCGCCGGCUGCGGGGUGCCGGGCAGAGGCCAGGCCCCGAUGCCCCCGCGCGCCGUGCGCGCACGCAGUCCCCGGGUCGGAGGAGGGAGGCCAGGAGGCCGCUGGGCGCGGGAGCCCCGGGACAGCCGGGGGAGCUGGGGCUCGGUGCUGGCUCUGCCCGCCGCGCUGGGGCCCCCGGCUGCUCCCGAGGCCUCGCUCCCGCGGCCCGCAGCGGGCGCGGCCGGUUCUCCCCUGCGCGCGGGGCCGGUGUGAGGGCGGGACGCGGCGCACGCGCACCACGAGUCCGCCAGGGCCCGCGGACGGGGAGUUCAGAUCCCAGCUGGUGCCUGACCCCCGCCUCCCUCGUUUCCGAAACGCCUUCGUCUUUUCCUGUUCAGAGAACUUUCGAGAGACUUUCCAAGUUCUGCUCCGGAAGAGUGCGGCUCCCCGGGGUGCCAGCUGGCAUCUCCUGCAAUUAUCCUUAAAUUACAGGCGCAAUUUUAAUUUCACAAUAAUUAGAAGGGUCAACUGCAGCUCAAGCCGUCGAAACGAAUGGAAUUUUAAUGGGCAGCUGCUGAGGUUACAGCCGAGAAUAAUAACGCUGCCCGCCGGAGCCGGCCGGGGGAGCAGCGGCCACCUGGGAGGAGGGAAGCUGAGGGCUAGAGCUUAUUGUGUCCUGCGAAAUCUCCCCAAGGCCAUGAAGACAGUCUCCCACAUCCUGCUCCAGCGGCUGUGGUUCCGUUGGGUCUUUGAUCCAUCUCAGAUUCAUCGUUGUGCGUGACAGGAGUUAGAGCAUCGCGUUGUUCCAGCACCAUUUGUUCAAAGUCUGUCCCUUCCACCACUGAAUUUUUCUGGUGCCUUUGUCGAAAAUCAACUCACUGAACAGAGCUGGGUCUGUUGCUAGACUCUGAAUGAUUCCAUUGACGGCUAGAACCUCCAGUAUAAUGUGGAAAAGAAGCUAUGAGAGCAGCAUUUCCUUAUUCCUGAUCUUAGGGGAAGAUACUCAGUCUUUCACCAAUGAGUAUGAUGUUAGCUAUAGAUUUUUCAUAGAUGCCUUUUAUCAAAUUCAGGAAGUUCCCUUUUACUUUUAAUUUGUUUAGGGUUUUUAAUUAUAAACAGGUAUUGAAUUUUGACAAAUGCUGUCUCUGCAUUUGUUGAGAUAUUUGCAAGAUUUUUCUCCUUUAUUUUGUUAAUGUGGUGAAUUACAAGGCUUGCUUUUCAAAUGUUAAACCAACCUUGCAUUCCUAGAAUAAGUCAUACUUGUUCAUGAUGUGUUAUUCAGUUUAGUAAUAUUUUGCUAAGGAUUUUUCCACCUAUGUUCACAAAGACAUGGGUCUGUAAUUUUCUUUUCUCAUGAUGUUCUUGUUAGGUUUUGGUAUCAGAGUUAUGCAGGCCUUAUAAAAUGAGUUCAACAGUAUUCCAUCUUUAUUUUCUGAAAAAGUUUGUGUAAGAAUGGCAUUAUUUUUUCCUUACGUGUUUGAUUUACUCCACCACCAUAUGGUGCUGGAGUUUUAUUUGUGGGUAAGUUUACAGAAAAUGCUGGCUUUUUACUUAAAGUUUUAUUAUGAAAAAUUUCAACCACUCAGAAAAAUGGACAGAGGGCCAGCCCUGUGGCCAAGUAGUUAAGUUCACAUGCUCCACUUUGGUGGCCUGGGGUUCGCCGGUUUGGGUCCUGGGCGCAGACCUAUAUGCUGCUUAUGGAGCCAUGCUGUAGUGGCGUCCCACAUAGAAGUAGAAUGACCUACAACUAGGAUAUAUAACUGUACUGGGGCUUUGCGGGAGGGUAAUAAAAAAGAGGAAAAUUGGCAAUAGAUGUUAGCUCGGAGCCAAUCUUCCUCUCCAAAAGGCAUAAAAAAAAAGAAAAAAAACAAUUUUAAAAAAAUAGAAAAAUGGACAGAAUUGUAUGACAAUCAUGUCCAUUUCUUAAAUUAACAUUUUAUUAUACUUUCCUUAUCAGAAACCCAUCUAUCUAUGCAUCACUCCAUCUUUUUUUUGGUGCAUUCCUAAGUAAGUUGUAGACAUCAGCACACUCCCCUUAAAGGUUCUUAAUUAUUCAGUUUUUUUAAAUCAACAUAGGGCUAUUUAGACUUUCUCUUUCCUCUUGUGCAAUUUUUGUUGUGUUUUUAAAGGACGUUUUCCAUUUUAUGUAAGUUGUCAAAUUUGUUGUUAUUAAGUUGCUGAUACUAUUCUCUUGAUAUCCUCUAAAUAUCUGUGGGCUCUGUAAUAAUAUUCCUGAUAUUGGUAGUUUGUGUUUUCUCUCUACUCUUCAUUAAUCUUACUAAGCGUUGAUACAUUUCAUUAACCUUUUUCAAAAACCAACUUUUGGCUCUUGUUUUUUCCUGUGGUUUGGCUGUUCUCUGUUUGAUUAAUUUCCACUUUUAUUUUUAUUUCCUUCCUUCUAUUUAGGUUUAAUUUUCUCUUUAUUUUCUAGCUUCUUAAUAUGGAGGCCUGGCCUGGAUCGUUCGUUUCAAACCAUCUUUUCUAGUAUAAGCAUUUUAAAUUAUAAAUUUAUCUCUAGAAGAAGUUAAGCUAUAUACCACAGUUUUUGACAUACUGUAUUUUCAUUACUAUUCAGUUAAAAAUAUUUUUCUAAUUUCCCUUGUGAUUUGAAAUUGCUUAUGAUUCCCUUAUGAUUAGAAGUGUGCUAGUUAAUUGUUAAAAGUUGAGUGCUUUUCUAGAUAUUGUUAUUGAUUUCUGUUGUCAGAGAACUUACACUGUAUGACUUCAAUCCUUUAAAAUAAUAUUUAUUUCACAGCCCAGCAUAUGUUCUCUCUUGGUAAAUGUUCUGUAUGCACUUAAAAAGAAUCUGUAUUCUGUAGCUGAUGAGUGUAGUCUUUUAUUCAUGUUUAUUAGGUUAGAUUGUUUGAUGGUGUUCAAAUCUUUUAAUCUUUUAUAUGAUUACUGAUUAUUUUGUCUUGUUUUCUCAUCAAUUCAUGAUAGAAAAAUGUUAAAAUAUUCAACUAUAAGUGUGGUUUUGUCUAUUAUUAUUUGUCUCCUUUUAAUUCUCACAGUUUUUGCUUCAAAUAUUUCAAGAUUUAGCCACUCCAGCUUUCUUAUUUUUCCACAUUAUUUCUUUUUGUGUCCUUUAAUGUUCAGUGUAAAUGUGUUUUUAUAUUUAAAGUGUGUCUCUGUUAAACAGACUAUAGUAGGUUUUGUUUUAUUUUAAGCCCAGUCUGACAUGGUCUGCUUUUUUUUUUUGAGGAAGAUUAGCCCUGAGCUAACUGCUGCUAAUCCUUAUCUUUUCACUGAGGAAGACUGGUCCUGAGCUAACAUCCAUGCCCAUCUUCCUCCACCCUAUAUGUGGGACGCCUACCACAGCAUGGCAUGCCAAGCAGUGCCAUGUCCACACCUGGGAUCUAAACCGGUGAACCCCGGGCCCCCGAAGCGGAACAUGAGAACCCAACUGCUGCGCCACCGGGCCAGCCGCUGCUCUGCCUUUUAAUUGGAAUGUUUAGCCCAUUUAUAGUUGAUGUAAUUAUUGAUGUAAUUAGGUUCAAGUUUACCUAUAAUCUUGCUAAUUGUUUUCUUUUUGUCCUAUUUGCUCUUUUGUUCCUCCUUUGUUGCCUUCUUUUUGAUUAACUGAUCUAAAAUUUUUAAAUGUUAUCUCCUCCAUUGGGUUUUUAGCUACAAUAUUCUUUGUACUGUUUUUUUAGAGGUUGCUCCAGGGAUUCCAGUAUGUAUCCUUAACUUACCUCAAUCUCUUUUGAAAUAUUAUACUACUUCAUGUAGAAUGUAAAGACUUUUCAAUAUAUAAUUCCAUUUCCUUCCCGUCUUUUGUGCUAUUGUUCAUAUAAUUUAUAUGUAUUUCUGUUAUAAACCUCAUAAUACAUUGUUGUUAUAUUUACUUUAAAUGUUCAAUUAUUCUUAAAGUAAUGAGGAAAAAGGAAAUGUAGUCUUUCAUAUUUACCUGCACAUUAACCAUUUCUAGUGCUCUUCAUUCCUUUGUAUAGGUCCAAGUUUCCAUCUCGCAUCAUUUCCUUUCAGCCUAAAGAACUUCUUUUAGCGUUUCUUGCAGCAUGAGUAUGCUAGCAGUGAAUUCACUCAGCUUUUGUGUAUCUGAAAAUGCCUUUAUUCUGCUUUCAUUUUUCAAGGAUAUUUUCACUGAAUGUAGACUUCUCAGUUGACGGUUUUUCCUCCCAGUCCUUUAAAGAUGUUUCUCUUUUGUUUUGGGGGCUUCCAUCAUUUCUGAUGAGAACUCUAACAUUUUUAUUAUUGUACUAGUGGAUGUAAUGUAUCUUUUUUUCUCUCAAUUCUUCUAAGAUUUCAGUUUUUAUUUUCAACAAUUUGUGUCUAGGUGUGUUUUCCUUGUAUGUAUCCCGCUUGGGGUUUGUUGAGUUUUUGGAUCUAUGGAUUGAUUUUUUAAAAAGUCAAAUUUGAGAAAAUUUUGACCACUAGUUCUUCAAAUAUGUUUUCCCAUUUUAUCUUUUUUGGGACUCCAGUUACACAUAUGUCACAUCACUUGAUAUUAUCCCACAGGUCACAAGCAAACACUCUUUUCAUUUUAUUCAAUCUUUUUUGCCUCCCCAUGAUUUAGUUUGGAUUAUUCACAUUUUCCUGUCUUCAGGUUCACUGAAAUUUUCUUUUGCAGUGUCCAGAAGCCUAGCCAAUACAUUUUUAUUUCACAUAUUAUGAUAUUGUAGUCUUCAGUUCUUGAAUUUCCUUUGAGAUUUUAGAAUUUUCAUUUCUCUUCCAAAAUAUCCAAUCUCUUUAUAUAUUAUAUCUCUUUUUAUCUGAAAAUUCUUCUACAUAAUCAUAAUAUUUUGUUACAUUGUAUGUCUGCUAAUUUCAAUUACUGGAUUAUCUGGGGUCUACAUCUUUUGGUUGUAUUUUCUCUUCAUUAUAGGUCAACGUUGUCUCCUUCACAUUCUUGUAAUUUUUUAUUUCAUUCCAAACAUUGUGUGUAAAUGAACAGUGGAGACUGAUAUAUAAUAUUUUGUUUUGAUUUUGUUCUGCUGAUUUCCCACAGAAUGUAAACUGUUUCCUCAGUUUGGGUGAGGGGCUCACCAUUCAGAUUCCCCCGAGUCAAGUUAACUGUGGGUCUGGAGCACAGCUUUAAUUGUGCUGAGUUCACCUGUGUUCAGCAGAACGCUCCACCUUCCUCUCACGGUAGCGUUUUUGAUCUUGUCUGUGUUUGAAGUAGGAGGAUAAGAACAGUUUCAGAUAUGUUGAGCUCACCUUAGAUUUAACUCGGGCAGAGCCCUGGAACCCCAGCACUGUGAGAAUGUGGAGGACCAGGUGAUUGUGCUGCGCUUUCCAGCCUCUCCUCACGCUUCCUUUGCCAAGUCUGCGUCUGAAUGGGAGAGGGUAGACUUGCUGGGGCUGAGUUACUUGUCAUCUAAGACUGGGCUGGUUUCUCUUCAUUCCUGCUCCUCCAUCUGCUAAUAUGUGGAUCAGACUCCUGUUCUAGACAUGGAUGUUGCCACCACUCUCUGUUCUCUAUGAAGAGCUUGUCUUAGGAAUUCAGUUCAUAAAAGUUUCUUUGUAUCUACUGGUCUACUAACCCCAUAGAAAAGUACGAUUAUUUUUUUUCUUGGUUUAUCUCAUUGCUACCAUGGGAGUGAGAGUCUUGCAUCCUGCUACACCCUAGGCGGAGGAAGAUGUCCCAUUUUCUCUCCUUCAUUAUGCUCCACAUUGAAAGUGCUCAGGCCAAGGCAAAAGACAAAUUAACGAGUCUGUUAAGUCUUUCCUCUCAGGUGGAGUGAAUGCCACAGGUUUCACAUAAUAGAAUACUGUUUCCCAAUAAUACUGAUGCUCAUUUGUCUUGCUUUUCCUCAUAUUUUUAUUUGUGAUUGUUUCCAGAGGUGGUCAGAAAUUAGCAGAGCAUUUACUAGAGUUUCACACAGCAGCUGCACAGCAUCCUGCAAUACUGAGCAUGCCUGUUACUCUUACAUUUACGUACAUGUUGGGCUAGACCAGAGAAGUGGCUACCUCUACUGCACAUUGGCAACAGAUGGACAUUGAACAUUGAAGUGGGAAUUGUUUUAUUUAAUAAGAUUUAAUUAAAUUUUGAAAAAUCAAAUAAAACAAUUUUACUUUCAUUUAAAUACUUUAAAAGAUUGUCAAGGGAAGGCUGUGAUAAUGGUGCUAUCGGGAUGUAUAAAGGAAAAGGUAAACAAGCCAAAAUUUUGGCCAGAAACCCGGAAGCUUUCCUGUGCCAACUAUGGCACAGAGUCGGAAUUUGUUAUUGGGAGACGUGGCUUAGAGGAUGCCAGCAGUGAUGACGUGCUUCGGAGUAGUUCAAAGAUGAUAUUUGAUAGUUCCUGCAUCUGCCCAAAGAUGGAACAUCUUGAUGAAACAUGGAUCAUAUUUGACACAUAAUCACCCUCAGAAACACAAAAAGAAUGUCAACUAAAUGCUGUUAAAGCAAUUAGAUUUAAUUUAUACAAGAUUCAAGCUGCUUUGGAAGAGUUAAGUGAAACAGCAGAGUAUCCUCAGAUAAAGAGGAAUUGUGAUCUUUAGAGGAAAAUGGAACUGGCUCUGUUCCAGUCGUUUGCUACGUUGAUCACUAUUGAAAACAUUAGGAAAAGCUUACAAAAAAGAAAAACAGGUUGACUAUUUCAUGCUUAAAAAUUACAAACUUUUUUAAUUGGAGAGAAAAUAGCUUUUCUCCAUGGAAAAAAACUGCAUGUGAAAUAAGCAACAAAAAUAGCAUUCUAGUAAAAUGUAAGGAAACCAGAGGAAGGAAAUGAAAAUAUUUGCAUGGUGGUGAAAGAGAUGAUUCACGUAAAGUAAUCUUAAUUCUAUCGAGAUUAUUUUCUGUCAUUUUAGAUUUAAGACAAUCUCAACUGGAGAGAUUUGAAUAAACAGUAAUAUUUUGGUAUUUUUGAAAUAGCACUGACAAAUUUUAAAUAACUUUAGAAAUACUGCAUGAAUCUAGAUAUAGUUUUAAGAGUUGUUGAAAAUCUUGCUAUGUUAUAGUGAUUUAUAUGAUGAAAUUAAAAGUAGUUUGUAAUAUUUUCUGUGAUAACAAUAAUGUUUCAUAACAAUAUUUGAACCUGAUCCAUAAAAUUUGUGGUUCUUUUCCAACUGUAAAUAUUUGCUUUAAGAAUUUUGGGGGGGGCCGGCCUGGUGGCGCAGCGGUUAAGUUCGCACGUUCCGCUUCUCAGCGGCCCGGGGUUCGCUGGUUUGGAUCCCGAGUGCAGACGUGGCCCCACUUGUCAAGCCAUGCUGUGGUAGGCGUCCCAUAUAUAAAGUAGAGGAAGAUGGGCACAGAUGUGAGCUCAGGGCCAGUCUUCCUCAGCAAAAAGAGGAGGACUGGCAGUAGUUAGUUCAGGCUAAUCUUCCUCAAAAAAAAAAUUUUUUUGACAGUUACGAUUGCUUCUGCCUCAGUAGAGAAAAGUUUCUCCAAGUUGAAAAUAUAACACAAUUAUGUGGAAAUCUGGAUUAUAGCAACAUAGUUAGAGAUUUUGCUGAAAUGAAUGCAGGAAAAGUUAGUUUUUGGAAUAAAUAGCAUAAUCAUUUGUGAAUAGUGCAUGUCUUUCUGUUGUUAUUCAUCCAGUCACAGUUGACCCAUCAACAGCAACAAUAUAUAGUUUUGAUCUUUUGCUAUUGUGUGUUUGUAUAAAAGCCAUAGCUUUAGAAGAUAUACAAAUAGCCAAUAAACACAUGAAAAGAUGCUCAACAUCAUUAACCAUCAGGGAAAUACAAAUCAAACCCACUAUGAGAUACCACCUCACACUCAUUAGGAUGACUGCUAUCAAAACAAACCAACCAACAAACCAGAAAAUGCCAAAUGUUGGCAAGGAU
ensembl:lncRNA